rnacentral:rRNA from 1 species
GACAGAGGGUGCAAACGUUGCUCGGAAUCAUUGGGCGUAAAGCGCGCGUAGGCGGUUACUUAAGUUGGAUGUGAAAGCCCUCGGCUUAACCGAGGAAGUGCAUCCAAAACUGAGUAGCUAGAGUACGAAAGAGGGUCGCGGAAUUCCCGGUGUAGAGGUGAAAUUCGUAGAUAUCGGGAGGAACACCGGUGGCGAAGGCGGCGACCUGGGUAGAUACUGACGCUGAGGCGCGAAAGCGUGGGGAGCGAACAGG